rnacentral:tRNA from 1 species
GCUUGGGUGGCUCAGUUGGUUAAGCGUCUGACUUCAGCUCAGGUCAUGAUCUCACGGUCUGUGAGUUCGAGCCCCAUGUCAGGCU